GUGAGGAAUAUUGGUCAAUGGGCGGGAGCCUGAACCAGCCAAGUCGCGUGAAGGAAGAAGGAUCUAUGGUUCGUAAACUUCUUUUGCAGGGGAAUAAAGUGCAGGACGUGUCCUGUUUUGUAUGUACCCUGAGAAUAAGGAUCGGCUAACUCCGUGCCAGCAGCCGCGGUAAUACGGAGGAUCCGAGCGUUAUCCGGAUUUAUUGGGUUUAAAGGGUGCGUAGGUGGUUUGAUAAGUCAGCGGUGAAAGUUUGCAGCUUAACUGUAAAAAUGCCGUUGAAACUGUCGGACGUGAGUGUAGAUGAGGGAGGCGGAAUGCGUGGUGUAGCGGUGAAAUGCAUAGAUAUCACGCAGAACUCCGAUUGCGAAGGCAGCUUACUAAGCUACAACUGACACUGAAGCACGAAAGCGUGGGGAUCAAACAGGAUUAGAAACCCUGGUAGUCC
rnacentral:rRNA from 1 species